UAUCCUGUCUGAAUAUGGGGGGCCCAUCCUCCAAGGCUAAAUACUCCUGACUGACCGAUAGUGAACCAGUACCGUGAGGGAAAGGCGAAAAGAACCCCGGCGAGGGGAGUGAAAAAGAACCUGAAACCGUGUACGUACAAGCAGUGGGAGCACGCUUAGGCGUGUGACUGCGUACCUUUUGUAUAAUGGGUCAGCGACUUAUAUUCUGUAGCAAGGUUAACCGAAUAGGGGAGCCGAAGGGAAACCGAGUCUUAACUGGGCGUUAAGUUGCAGGGUAUAGACCCGAAACCCGGUGAUCUAGCCAUGGGCAGGUUGAAGGUUGGGUAACACUAACUGGAGGACCGAACCGACUAAUGUUGAAAAAUUAGCGGAUGACUUGUGGCUGGGGGUGAAAGGCCAAUCAAACCGGGAGAUAGCUGGUUCUCCCCGAAAGCUAUUUAGGUAGCGCCUCGUGAAUUCAUCUCCGGGGGUAGAGCACUGUUUCGGCA
rnacentral:rRNA from 1 species